CUAUACAUGACUCUGCGCAUAUCAAUAAGCGGAGGAAAAGAGACUAACAAGGAUUCCCUUAGUAACGGCGAGUGAAGCGGGAAGAGCUCAAAUUUGAAAUCUUCAAGGUUCUACCUUGACGGAUUGUAGUUUAUAGAAGUGUUUUCUGUUAGUAGGAGUGGCAAAAGUUCUUUGGAAUAGGACAUCAUAGAGGGUGAGAAUCCCGUAUUUGGUCAUUCCUUCUAGCGUUGUGAUACACUUUCAACGAGUCGGAUUGUUUGGGAAUGCAGUCCAAAAUGGGUGGUAAAUUUCAUCUAAAGCUAAAUAUUGGCGAGAGACCGAUAGCGAACAAGUACCGUGAGGGAAAGAUGAAAAGAACUUUGAAAAGAGAGUUAAACAGUACGUGAAAUUGUCAAAAGGGAAGCGUUUGACACCAGUGUUGUUUUUCCGGAAAUCAAUUACGAAUGUUUUGUUUUUAAGGAGUUAUGACUUCAUCGGCUUGCUUCUCUCUUUACGAAACUUUCUUAAUGCACUUUUCGGUUAACAAGUCAACAUCAAUUUCUUUUGUUGUAAAAGGGUAUGAGGAAGGUGGCUUUCUUUUCGGAGAAAGUGUUUAUAGCCUUGUGCCUCUGCAAUCGGAGAGAUUGAGGUCUGCAGCGUAGAUCCUUCGGGGUUAGAUACGUUUGUGCUAAGUUAUAGCUUUUCAUAGACAACUUGUUGACUAUGUUUAGUCUUGUAGCUUACUCGCUGACACUAUUUUACCUACGCUUAGGAUGUUGAUAGUCACAGCGUGUAC
rnacentral:rRNA from 1 species